CGGGGUCUAAUACCGGAUAUGACUACUGAGGGCAUCCUCGGUGGUGGAAAGUUCUGGCGGUACAGGAUGAACCCGCGGCCUAUCAGCUUGUUGGUGGGGUAGUGGCCUACCAAGGCGACGACGGGUAGCCGGCCUGAGAGGGUGACCGGCCACACUGGGACUGAGACACGGCCCAGACUCCUACGGGAGGCAGCAGUGGGGAAUAUUGCACAAUGGGCGAAAGCCUGAUGCAGCGACGCCGCGUGAGGGAUGACGGCCUUCGGGUUGUAAACCUCUUUCGCCAGGGACGAAGCGCAAGUGACGGUACCUGGAUAAGAAGCACCGGCUAACUACGUGCCAGCAGCCGCGGUAAUACGUAGGGUGCGAGCGUUGUCCGGAAUUAUUGGGCGUAAAGAGCUCGUAGGCGGUUUGUCGCGUCGGCCGUGAAAUCUCCACGCUUAACGUGGAGCGUGCGGUCGAUACGGGCAGACUUGAGUUCGGCAGGGGAGACUGGAAUUCCUGGUGUAGCGGUGAAAUGCGCAGAUAUCAGGAGGAACACCGGUGGCGAAGGCGGGUCUCUG
rnacentral:rRNA from 1 species